rnacentral:lncRNA from 1 species
GGGGCCAUCUCAGGCCUUGCAGGGUGGGAACAUGCAUGCAGGAAUCACAAUAGCUCCCUUCAUGUGCCCAUCCUUCCAGGUCACUCAGUGGCCUUGGUCGGUGGGAGUCAGUGCUGCUGGACCCAUAGGUAGCCUCCAAAAGCAAAGAGAUUCACAGUGUGAGCGAAAUUCAACGUGAGGGGCUUCCUCCGCUGUGAGCUUUGAAAAUGAAGGGGCCAUGUGGCAAAGGAUAUGACGGGCUCCAGGAAUUGAGAACAGCUCCACCCCACCUCCACCUGACAGCUGCCCAGGAACAAGGACUACAAUCCCACAACUGCCUGAAACUGAAUUCUGCCACCAAGCUCUGUAUAAGCUGGAAGGAGGACCCCAGCCUCAAGAUGAGGACACAGCUUCGUGAAAUCCUGAGCUGAGAAUCAUUCACACCAGGCCUGGAUUUCUCAUUAAGGAAAUGUAGAGAAAUAAAUGGGUGCUGUGUAGAGCCAGUGAGUUAGUGGUAAUAUGUUAUGCAGUAACAGAAAAUUCAUACAUAGACCAACAGAUAAGCAUAUAACAUUUUCUCGAUUGGAAUAAAUUAGUGAAUUGAAAUGUA